rnacentral:rRNA from 1 species
UUUUAAUGGCCGCAGUAUUUUAACUGUGCAAAGGUAGCAUAAUCAUUAGUCUUUUAAUUGAAGGCUUGUAUGAAUGGUUGGACGAGAUAUUAACUGUUUCAUCUUAAUUUUUUUUAGAAUUUAAUUUUUUAGUUAAAAAGCUAAAAUUUAUUUAAAAGACGAGAAGACCCUAUAAAUCUUUAUAUUGGAAUUAUUAUUAUUAUUUAGAUUUGUUUUAUAUUAAUAAUUAAUAAUAUUUUGUUGGGGUGAUAUUAAAAUUUAUAUAACUUUUAAUUUUUAUUUUCAUUAAUUUAUGAAUAAAUGAUCCAUUUUUAGUGAUUAAAAAUACAAGUUACUUUAGGGAUAACAGCGUAAUUUUUUUGGAGAGUUCUUAUCGAUAAAAAAGAUUGCGACCUCGAUGUUGGAUUAAGAAAUAAUUUUAGGUGUAGUAGCUUAAAUUUUAAGUCU